rnacentral:lncRNA from 1 species
GUUUAUUAACCACCACCAGAGGGCGUGUCAUGAUGUAUGUACAACUUCCUAGGUCAAAGGUCAAGGUAAAAAAACUUUGAUUUCAGUUGACAACCCUGUGUCCUGUGGUGAAGAUCGUGUCCGCUUUAUAUCUUGAGAACCGUUAUGAUUUCAAAGUUUAUACUUGACAUGUAUAUGAACCAACACCAGAGGGUGUGUCAUAAUUUAUGAACGACUUCCUAGGGCAAAGUUCAAGGUCAAAAACUUUGGUUUCAGUUGACAACCCCAUGUCUAUGGUAAAGAUUGUGUCCGCUC